AUGCACAGCAAGUUCCUGCAGAAGCGGCUUAUCCCGGUGCAUGCGGUCGCUAAUUGUGUGGGUACAUCGUUAAUUACAAUCUUAAGAAACCGAAACACUAGCUUGCAUGCACUAGAUAUAGAAAUAAAAAAAGAAAGUACAUGGGACCCACCAAUCAGAGGGGGCAAGUCGCCCUGCCAAUAUUUUGGCGCAGCUUUUGAGCGCCCUGGAAUCGCCCGCUCGUUGGCGAGAAAUACAUGGGUGCGGUGCUGGCGGGCUGGGCGAGCCAGUUCGCUGGCAACCAUCCAAACGACUACCAAAAUUCAAGGGCGAGCCAAUAUUUUGGUAGGGUCAGCUUUGGUUCCAAUCCAAACGCACCCUUAUUGUUCUGUAAUGAAAGACUGUCUCUUUUGA
rnacentral:rRNA from 1 species